CAGGCCUAACACAUGCAAGUCGAGCGGAUGACGGGAGCUUGCUCCCUGAUUCAGCGGCGGACGGGUGAGUAAUGCCUAGGAAUCUGCCUGGUAGUGGGGGACAACGUCUCGAAAGGGACGCUAAUACCGCAUACGUCCUACGGGAGAAAGCAGGGGACCUUCGGGCCUUGCGCUAUCAGAUGAGCCUAGGUCGGAUUAGCUAGUUGGUGAGGUAAUGGCUCACCAAGGCGACGAUCCGUAACUGGUCUGAGAGGAUGAUCAGUCACACUGGAACUGAGACACGGUCCAGACUCCUACGGGAGGCAGCAGUGGGGAAUAUUGGACAAUGGGCGAAAGCCUGAUCCAGCCAUGCCGCGUGUGUGAAGAAGGUCUUCGGAUUGUAAAGCACUUUAAGUUGGGAGGAAGGGCAUUAACCUAAUACGUUAGUGUUUUGACGUUACCGACAGAAUAAGCACCGGCUAACUCUGUGCCAGCAGCCGCGGUAAUACAGAGGGUGCAAGCGUUAAUCGGAAUUACUGGGCGUAAAGCGCGCGUAGGUGGUUUGUUAAGUUGGAUGUGAAAGCCCCGGGCUCAACCUGGGAACUGCAUUCAAAACUGACAAGCUAGAGUAUGGUAGAGGGUGGUGGAAUUUCCUGUGUAGCGGUGAAAUGCGUAGAUAUAGGAAGGAACACCAGUGGCGAAGGCGACCACCUGGACUGA
rnacentral:rRNA from 1 species